ACCACUGCACGGGGCUGCUCAGUCCUCGCUAAAGGGUGAAGUCAACUUCACCUUCUCCAUGUCUCACAUGAUGACCAGGCUGCAGCUUGCUGCCUAUUCCAGGCUCACUGGAAAGCUAUGAAGCAAAGAACAGACCGGACAGAGAGAGUCAACUAGGUGCGAAUGUGCCUUUACCAGGUGCUCACCUCCCAUUUAAUAAGGAAGUUCUUUGCGAAGAAGCAGUUGAAACCUCAGGGGGUGAAAAUCUGAUCCAAAAAACAAGACGAGUGAACUACCGAGUCCAGAGCGAACACCAGGAACCAGGAAGCCUGAAGCAGAAUGUCCCAUGCAGACCUAAGUGGGAACAUUACAAGCCAAACCUGGGAGUUGCAAGAAGCGGGAGGGGACAGCCAUCCAGAACAUUCUGGAAUCACAAUCUGAGGAGCAGAGGGGAGCUGUGUGUGAAGCCAGCAGUGGCCAGCAGAGGAAAUGCAGGGUCUGGCUGCAGGCCAUUCGUACCCUAGCUCCCACCAUCAGGAUCUCCGGCCCCAUCCUGACCCCUGGUGGCUGCCCAAGGAUGAGGCGGGCACUCUUCCCCAGCUCCACCCUGCCUGGUCCCAGAAUAACAGGAAAAAUGAU